GACAGAAUCCCAACUCGACAACUUACUGCCGGUCAUUUAUUCCGGUGGAUACGAAAUCAGAAAUACGGUGUUUGAGGAUUACCAGGUCAAUGGUUCAUUACCCAGCUGUAAAAAUUGCUUCUUCGAUAUUUGUUCGAUGCCAGGUAAAUUGGUCAAAUGAUGGAUUUUUCCCAAAGGUUGCCUAAAAUGAUGAUCCCGUUUUCAGUGCUUGUGAUGCCGGGCAGCCGAGACGGAUCUUCUUUGGAGGUCGGAUUAAACAAGGAAAAGACGGAUGUCUGCCAAAGGGCAUCUGACCGUUCUCGUGCCGUGCAGACACUGUAAAUGGAAACAAUCCUCUCUUAGAAGUAGGAGAGCAAUCCAGACUCAUCUGCGUCGAUACCGAAAAAUACAGGAAGAUAUUAAAUAAAUUUUACCGCAGACAAAA